rnacentral:rRNA from 1 species
GAUUCGUCACACUAUCAUUAACUGAAUCCAUAGGUUAAUGAGGCGAACCGGGGGAACUGAAACAUCUAAGUACCCCGAGGAAAAGAAAUCAACCGAGAUUCCCCCAGUAGCGGCGAGCGAACGGGGAGGAGCCCAGAGCCUGAAUCAGCAUGUGUGUUAGUGGAAGCGUCUGGAAAGGCGCGCGAUACAGGGUGACAGCCCCGUACACAAAAGCGCAUGUGCUGUGAGCUCGAUGAGUAGGGCGGGACACGUGGUAUCCUGUCUGAAUAUGGGGGGACCAUCCUCCAAGGCUAAAUACUCCUGACUGACCGAUAGUGAACCAGUACCGUGAGGGAAAGGCGAAAAGAACCCCGGCGAGGGGAGUGAAAAAGAUCCUGAAACCGUGUACGUACAAGCAGUGGGAGCACCCUUCGGGGUGUGACUGCGUACCUUUUGUAUAAUGGGUCAGCGACUUAUAUUCUGUAGCAAGGUUAACCGUAUAGGGGAGCCGGAGGGAAACCGAGUCUUAACCGGGCGUUAAGUUGCAGGGUAUAGACCCGAAACCCGGUGAUCUAGCCAUGGGCAGGUUGAAGGUUGGGUAACACUAACUGGAGGACCGAACCGACUAAUGUUGAAAAAUUAGCGGAUGACCUGUGGCUGGGGGUGAAAGGCCAAUCAAACCGGGAGAUAGCUGGUUCUCCCCGAAAGCUAUUUAGGUAGCGCCUCGUGAAUUCAUCUCCGGGGGUAGAGCACUGUUUCGGCUAGGGGGCCAUCCCGGCUUACCAACCCGAUGCAAACUGCGAAUACCGGAGAAUGUUAUCACGGGAGACACACGGCGGGUGCUAACGUCCGUCGUGAAGAGGGAAACAACCCAGACCGCCAGCUAAGGUCCCAAAGUCAUGGUUAAGUGGGAAACGAUGUGGGAAGGCCCAGACAGCCAGGAUGUUGGCUUAGAAGCAGCCAUCAUUUAAAGAAAGCGUAAUAGCUCACUGGUCGAGUCGGCCUGCGCGGAAGAUGUAACGGGGCUAAACCAUGCACCGAAGCUGCGGCAGCGAACGUAUCACCCAAGACAACUUUACGGAGUUGACGAUUGACGGAGCGAAGCGACGUCAAAGCGUUCAUUAAAGUCGAGUUGGCUUAGGGAUACGUUCGUUGGGUAGGGGAGCGUUCUGUAAGCCUGUGAAGGUGUGUCGUGAGGCAUGCUGGAGGUAUCAGAAGUGCGAAUGCUGACAUAAGUAACGAUAAAGCGGGUGAAAAGCCCGCUCGCCGGAAGACCAAGGGUUCCUGUCCAACGUUAAUCGGGGCAGGGUGAGUCGACCCCUAAGGCGAGGCCGAAAGGCGUAGUCGAUGGGAAACGGGUUAAUAUUCCCGUACUUGGUGUUACUGCGAAGGGGGGACGGAGAAGGCUAUGUUGGCCGGGCGACGGUUGUCCCGGUUUAAGCGUGUAGGUGUGUGUUCCAGGUAAAUCCGGUUCACUUUAACACUGAGGCGUGACGACGAGGCACUACGGUGCUGAAGCAACAAAUGCCCUGCUUCCAGGAAAAGCCUCUAAGCAUCAGGUAACACGAAAUCGUACCCCAAACCGACACAGGUGGUCAGGUAGAGAAUACCAAGGCGCUUGAGAGAACUCGGGUGAAGGAACUAGGCAAAAUGGUGCCGUAACUUCGGGAGAAGGCACGCUGACAC